rnacentral:rRNA from 1 species
UACGGAGGUGGCGGGCGUUGCUCGGAUUUACUGGGUGUAAAGGGCAGGUAGGCGGUCGCGCAAGUCAGAUGUGAAAUCCCACGGCUCAACCGUGGAACUGCAUUCGAAACUGCGCGACUUGAGGACGGGAGAGGAGACGGGAAUUCCCGGUGUAAGGGUGAAAUCUGUAGAUAUCGGGAGGAGCACCAGUGGCGAAGGCGCGUCUCUGGCCCGUCCCUGACGCUGAGCUGCGAAAGCGCGGGGAGCAAACAGG